UGAAGCGGCAACAGAAAUUUGAAAUCUGGCCCCCGGGGUCCGAGUUGUAAUUUGUAGAGAGUGCGGGGGAGACUGCGGUCUAAGUCCAUUGGAACAUGGUGUCAUAGAGGGUGAGAAUCCCGUAUGUGACCGCGGAUCGAACCCAUGUGAAGCCUCUUCGACGAGUCGAGUUGUUUGGGAAUGCAGCUCAAAAUGGGUGGUAAAUUUCAUCUAAAGCUAAAUACUGGCUGGAGACCGAUAGCGCACAAGUAGAGUGAUCGAAAGAUGAAAAGCACUUUGGAAAGAGAGUUAAACAGUACGUGAAAUUGUUGAAAGGGAAGCGCUUGCAACCAGACCUGCCCGUAGGCGAUCAGCCGCUGUUCUCAGCGGUGCACUCGUUCUGCGAUCAGGCCAGCAUCGGUUUCGGCGGUCGGAUAAAGGCCUUGGGAAUGUAGCUUCCUUUCGAGGGAGUUUUAUAGCCCUCGGUGCAAUGCGGCCAGCCGGGACCGAGGACCGCGCUUCGGCUAGGAUGCUGGCUUAAUGGUUGUCAG
rnacentral:rRNA from 1 species